rnacentral:rRNA from 1 species
GACGAACGCUGGCGGCGUGCUUAACACAUGCAAGUCGAACUGAAAGGCCCUUCUUUUGUGGGGUGCUCUUUUGUCGAACGUGUUUGUAACACUUGAGUAACCUUCCCUUGACUUUGGUUUAACUUCAUGAAACUGUUUCUAAUACCGGAUAGGCGCUCCUGCUGCAUGGUGGGGGUUGUAAAGUUUCGUCGGUUGUGGAUGUACUCGCUGCUUAUCAGCUUGUUUGUGGGGUAGUGGCUUACCAAGGUUUUGACGGGUAUCCGACAUGAGAGGUUGACCGGCAACAAAGGGAAUGAGAUAAGGACCAGAGUAGUACGGGAGGCAGAAGUGGGGAAUAUUGCAAAAUGGGAGGAAGCGUGAGGCAGCAACGGCGCGAGCGGGAUGAAGGCCUACGGGUUGUAAAACGAUUUCGCCUGUGACGAAGCGUGAGUGACGGUAAUGGGUAAAGAAGCACCGGCUAACUACGUG